GGCGAGCGGAAUGCAGCGGCCCGAGGCCUGGCCACGUCCGCACCCGGGGGAGGGGGCCGCGGCGGCCCAGGCCGGGGGCCUGGCGCCGCCUGCUCGAGCCGGGGAGCCCUCGGGGCUGCGGUUGCAGGAACCUUCCCUCUACACCAUCAAGGCUGUUUUCAUCCUAGAUAAUGACGGGCGCCGGCUGCUGGCCAAGUAUUAUGAUGACACAUUCCCCUCCAUGAAGGAGCAGAUGGUUUUUGAGAAAAAUGUCUUCAACAAGACCAGCCGGACUGAGAGUGAGAUUGCAUUUUUUGGGGGUACGACCGUCGUCUACAAGAACAGCAUUGACCUCUUCCUAUACGUGGUGGGCUCAUCCUACGAGAAUGAGCUGAUGCUCAUGUCUGUUCUCACCUGCCUGUUUGAGUCUCUGAACCACAUGUUAAGGAAGAACGUGGAGAAGUGCUGGUUGCUGGAGAACAUGGACGGAGCCUUCUUGGUGCUGGACGAGAUUGUGGAUGGCGGUGACAGGCCCUCAUGCCCAUGUAUCCUGUACAUAACCCCAAGGCGUCAUGAAGGAGCGCCUGCUGUCUGAGAAAAGCUACAAUAUUUGGGUCUCUCAAAAGGGAAGUUUUUUGUUUGUUUGUUUGUUUUUGUGUGUGUGUGUGUUUUUUUUUUGAGACAGAGUCUCGCUCUGUCGCCCAGGCUGGAGUGCAGUGGCGUGAUCUCAGCUCACUGCAACCUCUGCUUCCUGGGUUCAAGCAAUUCUCCUGCCUCAGCCUUCUGAGUAGCUGGGAUUACAGGUGUGCGCCACCACUAUUGGCUAAUUUUUUUUUGUAUUUUCAGUAAAGACGGGGUUUCACUAUAUUGGCCAGGCUGGUCUCGAACUCUUGACCUUGUGAUCCGCCCACCUCAGCCUCGCAAAGUGCUAGGAUUGCAGGCGUGAGCCACUGUGCCUGGCCUAAAAGGGAAGAUUUAAAAAAAAAAAAAUUUUUUUUUUUAGACGGAGUCUCACUGUGAUGCCCAGGCUGGAGUGCAGUGGCGCGAUCUUGGCUCACUGCAACGUCUGCCUCCCAAGUUGAAGCGAUUCUCCUGCCUCACCCUCCCGAUUGGCUGGAAUUACAAUGUGUGCCACUAUGCCUGGCUGAUUUUUGGACUUUUAGUAGAGACAGGGUUUCGCCAUAUUGGCCAGGCUGGUCUGGAACUCCUGACCUCAGGUGAUCCACCCACCUCGGCCUCCCAAAGUGCUGGGAUUACAGGCAUGAGCCACUGUGCCCAGCCUUAAAAAAAAAAAAAGGAGGAGGAAGUUGGGGAGAAGGUAGAUGCUGAUUUUUGGAGUUUCAUUUCUUUUAUGCAGGGCAUGACCCCAUGCCAUAAAAUAACAGUGCAACAAGAUAAGAACCCCCAGGGCCUCCCUUCCUAACUCUUUUCACAGGGAAUCCAACCCUAUACCCAGAAGGUGAAGUGAACUUUCAAGAGCUCUGAGUUUUGAGAGUCCCUGCUUUCAACAACCUGAUCAUUCUAGACCAGACUGUUCUCAGCCAGUUUCAAAGAUUUUGCCCAGGGAUGACAAAGCAUGUGGACCACUGGGUUGAAGCAUCAGAGAAUCAGAGCUGAGGGCCCUCCAUGCUGAAGGAGAGUUCUGACUUGAGGGCUAUCAGUGGGAAGGGACCUGGAAGUGUGAUUCUGGAGAGUGACCCCCAGCAAGUGAUCCAGAAGGUGAAUUUUAGGGCAGAUGAUGGCAGCCUGACUGAACAGAGUGUG